UACAGGUAACUCGAUUUACGCGACAAUGUAAAUCAAACAAGAGGUAGGUUGGCUCCGCUCAGGACAGGAUGUUUUCCACUGCCAAGGAACGAUUACUGUCCUCCUUGAGUAAGUGGGAUGGGGCGUGUGGCGUGUGAGGUCCUGGCAGUACAGGUAACUCUCGAUUUACGCGAGUAUUGUGUCCUUGAAGAGGUCGCGUAACUCAAAAACAAUGUAAAUCAAACAAGAGGUAGGUUUGUACCUUUAUUGCCUACUGUAUCACUCUGACUCCUCUCCCUCUCAUGGUUCCUCCUCUGGCUGCCCUUCCCCUCGUGGUAGCACAGCAGCGAGGGUGUUGUUGUUGUUGCUGAGUAGCGUGGCAGCGUGGGUACUGUAUUGUUGUUCAAGUGGCGCGCAGUAAGAACUGAGCUCAGCUGUGUGGCCGUGUGAGUCCAGUUGCGUGAGACAUCUGGUGGCCACUCCAUAAAAUAUCGCGUAUAAGUGAAAAAAAACGUGUAUAUUAAACAUUUAUUUGGAUUUUGGACCCCGCGUUAUUUCAAAAACGCGUAAACCAAACUCGCGUAAAUCGAGAGUUACCUGCAUUAGAGUUAAGGUUUCCCUGACUAUCAACCCUUUCCGUUCCCGUGAUGAAUUUUACCGACACGAGAUUUUUUCUGGGGCGGAUGGAGGAUGAUUUUUUUUCGUCACUCUGAAAAAGUUUCCUUGAACGUUAAAAAUGAAAUCUGUCUCAACCCGUCACCUUUGUAAACAAACCACCCAUGUCAUUGUUUUCUACCUCUUAGGAAAUCAGAGAAACAGAGAUAUGGGUAUAGAACUGAGGCUGUCUUGUUCUCUUAAUACUCUCAACUCUUAACUUUCCGAGUCACUCAUAGAAGGCAGGAAAGGGAGGCUGUUUGGAAGGUAUAUUUGGAAGGGGUCGUUCAGAAGAGAGAAACAGAGAUAUGGGUAAAAUAACUGUGUCUUGUUCUCUUAAUACUCCCAUCUCUUAAUUUUCUGAGUCACUCAUAGAAGGCAGGAAAGGGAGGCUGUUUGGAAGGUAUAUUUGGAAGGGGUCGUUCAGAAGAGAGAAAUAGAGAUAUGGGUAUAGAACUGAGUGUCUUGUUCUCUUAAUACUCUCAACUCUUAACUUUCCGAGUCACUCAUAGAAGGCAGGAAAGGGAGGGUGUAUGGAAGGUAUAUUUGGAAGGGGUCGUUCAGAAGAGAGAAACAGAGAUAUGGGUAUAGAACUAAGUGUCUUGUUCUCUUAAUACUCUCAACUCUUAACUUUCCGAGUCACUCAUAGAAGGCAGGAAAGGGAAGCUGUUUGGAAGGUAUAUUUGGAAGGGGACAUUCAGAGGAGAGAAACAGAGAUAUGGGUAUAGAACUAAGUGUCUUGUUCUCUUAAUACUCUCAACUCUUAACUUUCUGAGUCACUCAUAGAAGGCAGGAAAGGGAGGGUGUAUGGAAGGUAUAUUUGGAAGGGGGCGUUCAGAAGAGAGAAAUAGAGAUAUGGGUAAAAUAACUGUGUCUUGUUCUCUUAAUACUCUCAACUCUUAACUUUCCGAGUCACUCAUAGAAGGCAGGAAAGGGAGGCUGUAUGGAAGGUAUAUUUGGAAGGGGACGUUCAGAGGAGAGAAACAGAGAUAUGGGUACAGAACUAAGUGUCUUGUUCUCUUAAUACUCUCAACUCUUAACUUUCCGAGUCACUCAUAGAAGGCAGGAAAGGGAGGCUGUAUGGAAGGUAUAUUUGGAAGGAGUCGUUCAGAAGAGAGAAACAGAGAUAUGGGUAUAGAACUGAGUGUCUUGUUCUCUUAAUACUCCCAUCUCUUAACUUUCCGAGUCACUCAUAGAAGGCAGGAAAGGGAAGCUGUAUGGAAGGUAUAUUUGGAAGGGGUCGUUCAGAAGAGAGAAACAGAGAUAUGGGUAAAAUAACUGUGUCUUGUUCUCUUAAUACUCUCAACUCUUAACUUUCCGAGUCACUCAUAGAAGGCAGGAAAGAGAAGCUGUUUGGAAGGUAUAUUUGGAAGGGGGCGUUCAGAGGAGAGAAACAGAGAUAUGGGUACAGAACUGCAGCUGUCUUUUCUCUCAUACUGUCAUCUCUUCAUUUUCAUUAUAUUCAUUUCAUAAUAUAUAUCAAAGCAUUUGUGAUCAGUUUAUGCAUCAUCCAUUCUUUGGGGUUUAUAUCAUGGCACAAAUUUGGCCCGUCGCUGCUACACGGUAAAGCCACAAAUUUGGCCCGUCACUGCUACACGGUAAAGCCUCAAAUUUGGCCCGUCGCUGCUACACGGUAAAGCCACAAAUUUGGCCCGUCGCUGCUACAUGGUAAAGCCACAAAUUUGGCCCGUCGCUGCUACAUGGUAAAGCCACAAAUUUGGCCUGUCGCUGCUACACGGUAAAGCCACAAAUUUGGCCUGUCACUGCUACAUGGUAAAGCCACAAAUUUGGCCCGUCACUGCUACAUGGUAAAGCCACAAAUUUGGCCCAUCGCUGCUACACGGUAAAGCCACAAAUUUGGCCCAUCGCUGCUACACGGUAAAGCCACAAAUUUGGCCCGUUGCUGCUACUGGGUUAAU